UGUGAAGAACUUUGUUUUGCCAGUCAGGAUUAAUGUUUUCUUUUCCAUGGGCCUAUAGCCCACUGAGACAGUUUGGUAAAGGGCUGUUACUAAAGUCCUGAAAGCCCCAGGUGAACUGGUUACAAUUCUUUUGUCAGCUGCUUAGUAUCUAGCACCCAGGUUCUAACCAUCUCUCCAUCCUUUUGUUAUUAGUUGUUACUAGAAGCCUAGUGUCAUUUGGAGGCUGGUUCUCUUGAGAGGCAAAGCCAUGGAGCUGACACUGACAAUGGCCUUUUUGUUCCAAGAAAGGCCUCCUGGUUUAGCUGUGUGACUAAAUGCUGUUUGCCCUCUUCGGUAGACUCUAUUCUCAAGAUUCUCUUGUUUUCUCACCAUCCCAUUUGAUAUGCUUGUUAGUAACUGUUACAGGUCUUCUUUACCACCGAUGAAAGACGGAAUCCUACUGGAGACCAGAAAAAAAUGUUCCAGACACGGAUAGAAGGCCCUCACUUCUGCCUGCUCUCUUCAGACGCCUGAAGGUAGGGAGUGCCAGGUCUGCCCCCAGGCUCCAAGGGUCGGUCUCCUAGGGGCUGGAAAAUGCCCCACCAAUCUGGCUAAGAUAAGGAAAGGAUAUGAAGAGAAAGUUACAGAAACUUGAAGGGUUAAGCUAAGUCGCUGAGAGAGUUAUUGUAAGUUGAUGCAUGGUUCAGGGUCUGUGCAGAAAAGUGGACAGCACCUAAUAGCUGUAGAAGAAGAUGCAGAGAGACAGAAAAAAAAAAAGAAAGAAAGAAAGAAAGAGGUAAAGAGUGCAGGAAGCUAG
rnacentral:lncRNA from 1 species